CCUACGGGGGGCAGCAGUGGGGAAUAUUGCACAAUGGGGGAAACCCUGAUGCAGCGACGCCGCGUGAGCGAAGAAGUAUUUCGGUAUGUAAAGCUCUAUCAGCAGGGAAGAAGAAUGACGGUACCUGACUAAGAAGCUCCGGCUAAAUACGUGCCAGCAGCCGCGGUAAUACGUAUGGAGCAAGCGUUAUCCGGAUUUACUGGGUGUAAAGGGAGCGUAGGCGGUGCUAUAAGUCUGAUGUGAAAGCCCGGGGCUCAACCGCGGGACUGCAUUGGAAACUGUAGGACUGGAGUGUCGGAGGGGUAAGUGGAAUUCCUAGUGUAGCGGUGAAAUGCGUAGAUAUUAGGAGGAACACCGGUGGCGAAGGCGGCUUACUGGACGACAACUGACGCUGAGGCUCGAAAGCGUGGGGAGCAAACAGGAUUAGAUACCCCGGUAGUC
rnacentral:rRNA from 1 species